rnacentral:rRNA from 1 species
ACGGUAGCACAGAGAGCUUGCUCUUGGGUGACGAGUGGCGGACGGGUGAGUAAUGUCUGGGAAACUGCCCGAUGGAGGGGGAUAACUACUGGAAACGGUAGCUAAUACCGCAUAACGUCGCAAGACCAAAGUGGGGGACCUUCGGGCCUCACACCAUCGGAUGUGCCCAGAUGGGAUUAGCUAGUAGGUGGGGUAAUGGCUCACCUAGGCGACGAUCCCUAGCUGGUCUGAGAGGAUGACCAGCCACACUGGAACUGAGACACGGUCCAGACUCCUACGGGAGGCAGCAGUGGGGAAUAUUGCACAAUGGGCGCAAGCCUGAUGCAGCCAUGCCGCGUGUAUGAAGAAGGCCUUCGGGUUGUAAAGUACUUUCAGCGAGGAGGAAGGCAUUGUGGUUAAUAACCGCAGUGAUUGACGUUACUCGCAGAAGAAGCACCGGCUAACUCCGUGCCAGCAGCCGCGGUAAUACGGAGGGUGCAAGCGUUAAUCGGAAUUACUGGGCGUAAAGCGCACGCAGGCGGUCUGUCAAGUCGGAUGUGAAAUCCCCGGGCUCAACCUGGGAGCUGCAUUCGAAACUGGCAGGCUAAAGUCUUGUGGAGGGGGGUAGAAUUCCAGGUGUAGCGGUGAAAUGCGUAGAGAUCUGGAGGAAAUACCGGUGGCGAAGGCGGCCCCCCUGGACAAAGACUGACGCUCAGGUGCGAAAGCGUGGGGAGCCAACAGGAUUAGAUACCCUGGGAGUCCCACGCCUAAAACGAUGGCCACUUGGA